rnacentral:lncRNA from 1 species
CAGAAGACCAGCUCCUCUAGUCUAACCCUGGUCUCUGGCGGCACUGAAUUACAUCUCGAUGCACACAGCAACUUGCCAGUGAUGCAGGAAGCACAGGAGCCUAUGAGAGACUGAAGAAAAUGAGACUGGUCAGAUGUCCUGCUUAAAACCAGAAGGAAAAGGCAGGGAAACAGCAGACCAUAGAGCUUAAUGCUAAGACCUUGAACUACUCAAAAGAAUUAGAGAUUUAAAAAAACAAUAAUAAGGUGUGAUUUUUAGAAACCAGUUUGUGUUUGCUUAAAGAAGGCAUGUCAAGACCAUGGGGUAUUUAAUAGGUUUGGUUUCUAGAGGAGAGGGGCCUCACCAUGGUAACCUCAUCACCAUCAGCUUCACCUCCUUCAACAUCAUCUGGGUUGGCCUGGGCCGGGGCCCGUCCAUGGUGCUCAGUAGACACUGCCUCCUUUGACCCUUAGCACCAGCCAUUCAAGGUCAUGGUCAUGGCCUCUCAAAAACCACAUUGAAAAAGUUUCUCAACUUGGUGCACAAAAAUGAAAUAGAGUUGUUAGUGUGAUCGCAGGAUUUGUAACUGCUGGGGGUGGGUAAUGUCAAGUAAUAAAGGGUUUUUCACAUGACAUAGUAUAUAGAUGGGGACAGAUGAUCCUGGAAGCAGUAGAAUCAAGAGUGGAAACAUUCACUAA